rnacentral:sRNA from 1 species
CAGCAUCGUGCUGUUUGCCUUGGCUGGAGCCGUGGGGUUUGUAACACAUUACGUGCUCCCUCAGCUCCGCAAGCAUCAUCCCUGGAUGUGGAUUUCACACCCCAUUCUCAAAAACAAAGAGUAUCAUCAACGGGAAGUGAGAGAUGUCGCCCAUUUAAUGUGGUUCGAAAGACUCUAUGUUUGGCUUCAGUGUUUUGAAAAAUACAUCUUGUACCCAGCGCUAAUUUUGAAUGCCCUCACUAUUGAUGCAUUUUUAAUAAGCAAUCACCGGAGACUUGGUACCCACUGGGACAUUUUUCUGAUGAUCAUUGCUGGCAUGAAGCUGUUGCGGACAUCAUUCUGCAACCCGGUUUACCAGUUUAUUAACUUGAGCUUCACUGUCAUCUUUUUCCACUUUGACUACAAAGAUAUUUCAGAGAGCUUCUUACUGGAUUUCUUCAUGGUGUCCAUUUUAUUUAACAAGACAUAGUCUUGCUCUGUCACCCAGGCUGGAGUGCAGUGGCGUGAUCUCGGCUCACUGCAACCUCUGCCUUCCAACUUCCAGUGAUUCUCCUGUCUCAGCCUCAUGGGUAGCUGGGAUUACAGGUGCACACCAUCACACCUGGCUAAUUUUUGUAUUUUUAUUAGAGAUGGGGUUUCACCAUGUUGGCCAGGCUGGUCUUGAACUCCUGACCUCAGGUGAUCUGCCUGCCUCGGCCUCCCAAAGUGCUGGGAUUACAGACAUGAGUCACCGUGCCCAGCCGACAAAAGAGAAUUUAACAGUUUA